rnacentral:ncRNA from 1 species
UUAAAGUUUUUUUGGCUUUAGUUAAUUAUAUAAGUUUACUUUAAAUGCAAAUUUUAUUAUGAAAAAAAGAUAUCUUAAAUAGAACAUUAUUCAUUAAGGUCGCAGUAAAUAGAAUUAUUUAUUUAAGGAAUUAAGAAAUAGUAAUACUUUUAAGUAUAAACCAAUUUUGUGCCAGCAGUUGCGGUUAAACAAUUUAUGCAAUUAUUAAUAAUCGGUUUUAGUAAAUAAAUAUAUUGGAAUUUAUAAAAAGAUUUAUUAAGUGAAAUUUUAAAUUUUUAUAAAUUUAUUAAGGGAUUUUUAGGCUAAGAAAAUUUUUUUAUAGACUAGGAUUAGAUACCCUAUUAUAGAGAUUGUAAGUUUAAUUACCUAAUUAGUAUUAGUUAAGUUCUUGAAAAUUAAAAAAUUUGGCGGUAUUUUAGUCUAUUCAGAGGAACCUGUUCUGUAAUUGAUAAUCCACGAUUUGUUUUACUUACUUUAAAUAAUUUUCAUAUCGUCGUAGGUUGAAUAUUUUUAUAGAAUAAUUAAUAUUCAAGAGGUUUUAUAGAGUAAAUCAGAUCAAGGUGUAGUUUAUAGGUGAGAAGAAAUGGGUUACAAUAAAUUUAUUUAUACGGAUAAUUUUUUUAAAUAGAAAUUUAAAGGAGGAUUUGAGUGUAAUUUGAAAUAAAAUUUUCAGAUGAUUUUAGCUCUAAAGUAUGUACAUAUCGCCCGUCGCUUUCAUUUUAAGAUGGAAUAAGUCGUAACACAGUAGGUGUACUGGAAAGUGUACCUAGAAAG